CUUUCCAUCGACUACUUAGCGGCGCUUCUACCAUGGCUCUCUGUUUACUUGGAUUUUCUUGCCUCCCUUAUUUGUUUUUCAUCUUCGAGAAGUUUGUUUAUUCUGUGCAGUGAGAUUCGCAUGGAAUUGAGGUAAGGCUAAAAUCCUUUUGAAACCAGGUGUGAAUACUUGGGGUGGGUACCCCACCGAUUGAUUGAUGGAUAUAUUGGAGUGAUUGAUACACGUGAAUACAAAGCACUAAGGGAAUUCUCAUUAUCAUGAUGGGUUUAGCAUCAUGGGCAUUAUCCUAUGGGUUUUGAUAAGAUUCAUAGAAGAAUUGUAAUGAAUAUUUAGUUUCGAAUAUAUGAAUUGUAAAAUAUGAUUGUGAAUCAAUUGAAAGUUAAUUUUAUGA